UCGGAUAUGGUGUAACGGCUAACAUUGCCGCCUCUCAUUGUUAUUCGCGGCAGCUCGGGGUUCGAUUCCCCGUAUCCGAA